rnacentral:rRNA from 1 species
UGGGGAAUAUUGCACAAUGGGCGCAAGCCUGAUGCAGCGACGCCGCGUGAGGGAUGACGGCCUUCGGGUUGUAAACCUCUUUCAGCAGGGAAGAAGCGAAAGUGACGGUACCUGCAGAAGAAGCGCCGGCUAACUACGUGC